AUCAGGCAUGCACAAGGUGCACACAUAUACAUGCAGACAAAAUACAUACACAUAAAGUUGUUUUUUUUCGAGGCAAGAUUUCUCUGUGUAGCCCUGGCUGUCCUGGAACUUGCUUUGUAGACGAGGCUGGCUUUGAAUUUACAGAGAUCUGCCUGCCUCUGUCUUCCAAGUGCUGGCAUUAGAGGUGUGUGUCACUACCUUCUGGUCAAAAUAAAUCUUAAAAAAAAAAAAAAAACAAUCCUGUUGUCCCUUGUAGCAGCAUUCACUGAAGAACAAAGUCUUGUUUUGAUUUUCUUUUCUUUUUCCUUUUUUUUGAGACAAGGUUUCUCUGUGUGGCUCUGGCUGUCCUGGAACUUGCUCUGUAGACCAGGCUGGCUUUGAACUCAGAGAUCCACCUGCUUUUGCUGGGAUUAAAAGUGUGAGCCACUGCCUGACCAAGAACAAAGUCUUAAUUGAGGCCUUGGUGUAUAAGAAAUGCUUUCCAAGUGUUCAUUUAAAAAAUUAGCUAGAAAUGUAUUUCCUCUGUUCUUCCCUGGGCCUGUUAAGCAGCAAGUAUUUUUACAGAGGCUCUGGCCUUGUUGGAAGGUUGCUACAAGGGAAGUAAGAAUAACAUGCUUUAUACAGGAGACCUUGAGCCAGGCUACACAGAACAUUUGAAAUGACUCUUGGGGUUGAUUGAGGCCUGGAAUGUUUAGGAGGGAGAGAAGAAUCCAUCUAAUUCAUGAACAUCUUGUGGAGGAUAUUCAUAUGUAGUAGCACAGGACUGUAAUCUUGGUACUUGGGAUGUGGUGAUGGGAAAAUGGUGAAUAUGAGGCCAUCCUGGGUUACAUAACAAGACCCUGCUUCAGAAAACCAAAACAACAAAAUGCAUUGAGCACCUGCUGGAUGCUUGACAGCUUGCUCCCUUACUGUGCUAUCUCUUUUCUUUAGAGCCCCUCACCAGGUGGCAAACACUUCCUCAGUGAGCCUCUGCUGUUGAUCCCUCUCUACAACUUAUGGGGUGUAUAACAAAGUACUGUAACCAGGGGCCUGGUCCACGGCAGUGAACCACCUCACAGCUCUGGGGGCUGGGGGAUCAGGGUGCAUGGGGUUGAUGGGUUCUCAGGCUGUGAGGGAAUAUUCACCCCAGAUCUUCCUCUGCUCUUGGAUUGCUGGAAGUUGCUAGUGUCCUUAGCAUCACCCUGACUUUUGCCUUUAUCUUCCCAUGGCGGUCUACAUGUGGUGUGUCUGUGUAUAAGUUUCCGCUGUAUAGACACUAGUCAUGUUGAAUUAGGGCCACCUUCUCCAGAAUGACCUCUCUCUCUUUUUUUUUUUUCCAAGACAGGGUUUCUCUGUAUAGCCCUGCCUGGCUGUCCCGGAACUCACUCUGUUCAGGCUGGCCUCGAACUCAGAAAUCCGCCCACCUCUGCCUCCCGAGUGCUGGGAUUAAAGGCGUGCACCACCACGCCCAGCGUGUCUUGGCUUUUGAGAGAGGAUCUCACUGUAUAGUUCUGCCUAGUCUUGAACUUGAGACACUCCUGCCUUAGCCUUCCUAUUGCUAGGGUUACAGGUAUGAGCUACCAUGGUGAGACAAACACAUUGAUACAUGUGGAACUCUGCCAAGAGUACAUUUUCUUCUUUCCCUCGCUCCCUCUCCCCCUCUCUCCCUCUCUCUGUGAUUAGACAGCUUAUGGAAACCAUUGUGCCUCUUUUGCCGUGUGGAUAGUGAGGAUCAAACUCAGGCUGUCAGGUUUCGUGGCAAACACUUACCUGCUGGACCAUCAUCUUGCUAGCCACGAGUAUUUUUUCUAUUAUUGAUAUUAACCAAAAUUCUAUAUGCUUAUUUAUAGGUAUUACUUGGACUUUAAUCUGCUGGCCCCAUUUACGGAACUACCAGCCCCUGGAGGUUACUUUAUUUGAUUUGUUUGAGUGUUUUCCUGUAUGUAUGUAGAUGCACUAGAUACACGCUCAGUCAGUGCUCUUGGAAAUCAGAAGAGGUCACCAGAUCCCCUGCAACUGAAUUUAAUGGAUGGUUUCCGUUCUGGGAACUGAACUUAGAUCCUCUGUUAAGAGCAGCAAGUGCUCUUAAGAACCGAGCCAUCUCUGCAGUCUGAAGACCUUUUACUAAGGUUAUUUUUUUUAUAUAUGCGUAUAUGUACCACAUAUGUUUAGUGCUUUUGGAGGCCAGAAAAGAGUCAGAUACGCUGUAACUGGAGUUAUAGAUGGUCAUGAAUUGCCACAUGUAGGCUGGGAACCAAACCUAGGUACUUAGGAGAGCAGCCAGUAAUUUAACCUGCCUAGUCAUCUUUCUAGCCCCAUACCUACCCUAGCUUUUCAGCCCACAGUGAAUACUGCUGAGCCGUCUCUCUAGCACCAAGACUUUAAAAAUAAUUAGUAAGUCUUUGAGAAUUUCAUCAAAUCUAUUUUGAUUUUACUUACCCCACUGUGCCUCCUCUUACUCCUCCAGACCUAUCCCUGCCUGCCACAGCUUAGUGUACUUUUGAUUUGCUUGGUUUGGUUUUUAAUAACCUACUGGUUCUACUUCGUCCUGUUCUCACAUUCCUGGGCGUGGACCAUCCACUGGAUUCCUUCAGGUUGUCCUCUGAAUUCCUAUGUUCUGCCCUUCUUCCAAUAGAUAAAUAUUUUUUAAUGUUUUAUUUUACUUUUUGAUUACAAAAAAAAAGGCAGAUAGUACCUCGAAAAGGACAUCCAAGGCUGAUCUCUGGCUUCUAUAUGCUUUCCCCACACAAGUGUGCCCUUACCCCUAUAUGCACAUACACAAAAUUAAGAAUAGG
rnacentral:lncRNA from 1 species